ACUCCUACGGGAGGCAGCAGUGAGGAAUAUUGCACAAUGGGCGAAAGCCUGAUGCAGCGACGCCGCGUGGAGGAUGAAGGAUUUCGGUCUGUAAACUCCUGUCAGUAGGGAAGAGAAUGGACGGUACCUACUGAGGAAGCUUCGGCUAACUACGUGCCAGCAGCCGCGGUAAUA
rnacentral:rRNA from 1 species